AUGAAUGCAGUUGGAAUAACUGACAAUGUGAAAGGAGAUCAUCGGAAAUUUGAGAUCUGGUAUAGUGGGUGAGAAGAGGUGUAUGUGGUGCAGGCCCAAACAGUAGAUCUGAAGAUGGCAUGGUUGAAUGAAAUAAGAAAAAUUUUGUUCAAGCAGCAAGAGCUUAUAAAAGCAGUGGAGAAGUAGCAGCCUGGCUCAUGCUCAGAGCAGCUCCCGCUCUCCUCCCAGCUGGGUGACAGGUGAGUGCCAGGCUGG